GGGCUCUUAGUUCAGCCUGGCAGAACGUCUCCCUGGCACGGAGAAGGCCCUGGGUUCAAAUCCCAGAGAGUCCA
rfam:Candidatus Nanosalina sp. J07AB43 genomic scaffold scf_7180000030744, whole genome shotgun sequence.